GUGAGGAUAUGACCAGUGACUUGGUCUAUAGAGAGUAGAGGAGAGGUCCAUCCUCAUAGCAGUGAUAGGAGAGAUCAUGUGAGGAUAUGACCAGUGACUUGGUCUAUAGAGAGAAGAGGAGAGGUCCAUCCUCAUAGCAGUGAUAGGAGAGAUCAUGUGAGGAAAUGACCAGUGACUUGGUCUAGAGAGAGAAGAGGAGAGGUCCAUCCUCAUAGCAGUGAUAGGAGAGAUCAUGUGAUGAUAUGACAGAGCUGAGUGACUUAGUGUAUAGAGAGAAGAGGAGAGGUCCAUCCUCAUAGCAGUGAUAGGAGAGACCAUGUGAGGAUAUGACAGAGCUGAGUGCCUAUAGAGAGAAGAGGAGAGGUCCAUCCUCAUAGCAGUGAUAGGAGAGACCAUGUGAGGAUAUGACAGAGCUGAGUGACUUAGAGAGGAGAGGUCCAUCCUCAUAGCAGUGAUAGGAGAGAUCAUGUGAUGAUAUGACAGAGCUGAGUGACUUAGAGAGGAGAGGUCCAUCCUCAUAGCAGUGAUAGGAGAGACCAUGUGAGGAUAUGACCAGUGACUUGGUCUAUAGAGAGAAGAGGAGAGGUCCAUCCUCAUAGCAGUGAUAGGAGAGAUCAUGUGAGGAUAUGACAGAGCUGAGUGACUUAUAGAGAGUAGAGGAGAGGUCCAUCCUCAUAGCAGUGAGUGCCUAUAGAGAGUAGAGGAGAGGUCCAUCCUCAUAGCAGUGAGUGCCUAUAGAGAGAAGAGGAGAGGUCCAUCCUCAUAGCAGUGAGUGCCUAUAGAGAGUAGAGGAGAGGUCCAUCCUCAUAGCAGUGAGUGCCUAUAGAGAGGAGGGGCCUAAAACAAUGACAUCAUCUACCGUUUACCUCGUACCAUCUAAACGGCAUUGUUGUUAAAUCACUGAUAUGGAACAUAAACUGUCUGUCUGUCUGUCUGUCUGUCUGUCUGUCUGUCUCUCUCUCUCUCUAUCUCUCUC